rnacentral:misc_RNA from 2 species
CGCAGCCGCGGUAAUUCCAGCUCCAAUAGCGUAUAUUAAAGUUGUUGCAGUUAAAAAGCUCGUAGUUGAAUUUUAGGCCUGGCCGGGCGGUCCGUCUUUGGCGAGUACUGUCUGUUGUCGGGUCUUCCUUCUGGUGAACCAAUAUGUCCUUUAUUGGGUGUGCUGGGGAGCCAGGACCAUUACCUUGAAAAAAUUAGAGUGUUUAAAGCAGGCUUUUGCUUGAAUAGAUUAGCAUGGAAUAAUAGAAUAGGACGUUGUGGUUCUAUUUUGUUGGUUUCUAGGACCACCGUAAUGAUUAAUAGGGAUAGUUGGGGGCAUUAGUAUUCAAUUGUCAGAGGUGAAAUUCUUGGAUUUAUUGAAGACUAACUAUUGCGAAAGCAUUUGCCAAGGAUGUUUUCAUUAAUCAAGAACGAAAGUUGGGGGAUCGAAGACGAUCAGAUACCGUCGUAGUCUUAACCAUAAACUAUGCCGACUAGGAAUCGGGCGACGUUAUUUUAAUGACUCGCUCGGCGCCUUAUGG